rnacentral:rRNA from 1 species
UACGUAGGGUGCAAGCGUUGUCCGGAAUUAUUGGGCGUAAAGAGCUCGUAGGCGGUCUGUCGCGUCGGCUGUGAAAACUCGGGGCUCAACUCCGAGCUUGCAGUCGAUACGGGCAGGCUAGAGUUCGGCAGGGGAGACUGGAAUUCCUGGUGUAGCGGCGAAAUGCGCAGAUAUCAGGAGGAACACCGGUGGCGAAGGCGGGUCUCUGGGCCGAUACUGACGCUGAGGAGCGAAAGCGUGGGGAGCGAACAGG